rnacentral:rRNA from 1 species
GGAGCAUGCGGCUUAAAUUCGACGCAACGCGAAGAACCUUACCAAGGCUUGACAUAUAGGGAAAAGUGGCAGAGAUGUCAUGUCCGCAAGGGCUCUAUACAGGUGGUGCAUGGUUGUCGUCAGCUCGUGUCGUGAGAUGUUGGGUUAAGUCCCGCAACGAGCGCAACCCUCGUUCUGUGUUGCCAGCAUUUAGUUGGGGACUCACAGGAGACUGCCGGGGUUAACUCGGAGGAAGGUGGGGAUGACGUCAAAUCAUCAUGCCCCUUAUGUCUUGGGCUGCACGCAUGCUACAAUGACCGGUACAGAGGGCUGCAAUACCGUAAGGUGGAGCGAAUCCCAAAAAGCCGGUCUCAGUUCGGAUUGAGGUCUGCAACUCGACCUCAUGAAGUUGGAGUUGCUAGUAAUCGUAGAUCAGCAUCGCUACGGUGAAUACGUUCCCGGGGCUUGUACACACCGCCCGUCACGUCACGAAAGUCGGUAACACCCAAAAGUCAGU